UGCGGCGUGCUAAUACAUGCAAGUCGAACGCUUUGUGGUUCAACUGAUUUGAAGAAGCUUGCUCAGAUAUGACGAUGGACAUUGCAAAGAGUGGCGAACGGGUGAGUAACACGUGGGAAACCUACCUCUUAGCAGGGGAUAACAUUUGGAAACAGAUGCUAAUACCGUAUAACAAUGACAACCGCAUGGUUGUUAUUUAAAAGAUGGUUCUGCUAUCACUAAGAGAUGGUCCCGCGGUGCAUUAGCUAGUUGGUAAGGUAAUGGCUUACCAAGGCGAUGAUGCAUAGCCGAGUUGAGAGACUGAUCGGCCACAAUGGGACUGAGACACGGCCCAUACUCCUACGGGAGGCAGCAGUAGGGAAUCUUCCACAAUGGGCGAAAGCCUGAUGGAGCAACGCCGCGUGUGUGAUGAAGGGUUUCGGCUCGUAAAACACUGUUGUAAGAGAAGAAUGACAUUGAGAGUAACUGUUCAAUGUGUGACGGUAUCUUACCAGAAAGGAACGGCUAAAUACGUGCCAGCAGCCGCGGUAAUACGUAUGUUCCAAGCGUUAUCCGGAUUUAUUGGGCGUAAAGCGAGCGCAGACGGUUAUUUAAGUCUGAAGUGAAAGCCCUCAGCUCAACUGAGGAAUUGCUUUGGAAACUGGAUGACUUGAGUGCAGUAGAGGAAAGUGGAACUCCAUGUGUAGCGGUGAAAUGCGUAGAUAUAUGGAAGAACACCAGUGGCGAAGGCGGCUUUCUGGACUGUAACUGACGUUGAGGCUCGAAAGUGUGGGUAGCAAACAGGAUUAGAUACCCUGGUAGUCCACACCGUAAACGAUGAGUGCUAGGUGUUUGAGGGUUUCCGCCCUUAAGUGCCGCAGCUAACGCAUUAAGCACUCCGCCUGGGGAGUACGACCGCAAGGUUGAAACUCAAAGGAAUUGACGGGGACCCGCACAAGCGGUGGAGCAUGUGGUUUAAUUCGAAGCAACGCGAAGAACCUUACCAGGUCUUGACAUCCCUUGACAACUCCAGAGAUGGAGCGUUCCCUUCGGGGACAAGGUGACAGGUGGUGCAUGGUUGUCGUCAGCUCGUGUCGUGAGAUGUUGGGUUAAGUCCCGCAACGAGCGCAACCCUUAUUACUAGUUGCCAGCAUUCAGUUGGGCACUCUAGUGAGACUGCCGGUGACAAACCGGAGGAAGGUGGGGAUGACGUCAAAUCAUCAUGCCCCUUAUGACCUGGGCUACACACGUGCUACAAUGGCGUAUACAACGAGUUGCCAACCCGCGAGGGUGAGCUAAUCUCUUAAAGUACGUCUCAGUUCGGAUUGUAGGCUGCAACUCGCCUACAUGAAGUCGGAAUCGCUAGUAAUCGCGGAUCAGCACGCCGCGGUGAAUACGUUCCCGGGUCUUGUACACACCGCCCGUCACACCAUGAGAGUUUGUAACACCCAAAGCCGGUGGGGUAACCUUCGGGAGCCAGCCGUCUAA
rnacentral:rRNA from 1 species